AAGAAAUAAUGGUCUUCUUCAUUCAACUUUACAUCACCAUUGGUGUCCCACAGAAGAAAGCCUUAUACAAGUCUUGAUGGUUAGAAACGUCACAUUUUGGGUUUCUGGAUUCUCUUGAGCGUGCCCUGCCCCUCCUCCUCUCCUUCUGCCCUCUUGAGAUGAAAGGAUAUUGAGAAGAUCAGAGAAGAACUGUACAGUUGACCUCCUUUAAGCUGCCUCAGUCAGCCCUCUUCUUUCUGCUCAACACACUCCCAUCUAUAAGCUGCUGAGGAUUCUGGACCAUCGUGAUCUAAUAGAAGCCCUGACACACCCAAAAACCUGAUUCACGAGACGGUCUGAUUAAAGCUGCAUUGGUUCUAAUGAAGGAUUCAGAUCUGAGAAACAUGAACGUUAAACAACGGUAAGAAUUUUUUUCAGGACUCUAACAUGUUGUUCUCUUAUGUUUAG